GCAAGUCGAACGGGAAACCUUUUAUUGAAGCUUCGGCAGAUUUAGCUGGUUUCUAGUGGCGGACGGGUGAGUAACGCGUGGGUAACCUGCCUUAUACAGGGGGAUAACAACCAGAAAUGGUUGCUAAUACCGCAUAAGCGCACAGGACCGCAUGGUCCGGUGUGAAAAACUCCGGUGGUAUAAGAUGGACCCGCGUUGGAUUAGCUAGUUGGCAGGGUAACGGCCUACCAAGGCGACGAUCCAUAGCCGGCCUGAGAGGGUGAACGGCCACAUUGGGACUGAGACACGGCCCAGACUCCUACGGGAGGCAGCAGUGGGGAAUAUUGCACAAUGGGGGAAACCCUGAUGCAGCGACGCCGCGUGAAGGAAGAAGUAUCUCGGUAUGUAAACUUCUAUCAGCAGGGAAGAUAGUGACGGUACCUGACUAAGAAGCCCCGGCUAACUACGUGCCAGCAGCCGCGGUAAUACGUAGGGGGCAAGCGUUAUCCGGAUUUACUGGGUGUAAAGGGAGCGUAGACGGACUGGCAAGUCUGAUGUGAAAGGCGGGGGCUCAACCCCUGGACUGCAUUGGAAACUGUUAGUCUUGAGUGCCGGAGAGGUAAGCGGAAUUCCUAGCGUAGCGGUGAAAUGCGUAGAUAUUAGGAGGAACACCAGUGGCGAAGGCGGCUUACUGGACGGUAACUGACGUUGAGGCUCGAAAGCGUGGGGAGCAAACAGG
rnacentral:rRNA from 1 species